ensembl:lncRNA
UAUUACUAUUUUUAUCAGCAGCUUUAGCCAUUUGCUGUAUAAAUGGUCCUGCAUACAUAUACUGACUCCUGAGUGUGCAGCAACUGGGACAAUGGAGAGGUCAUUUCUGUAGCUGGUAUUGCAAGAAACCACAGCUAUGAGACCAAAGGCUGCAGGCCAUUAAAUUAAGGGUUACUAAAACAAAUAGACUAACAAUUGCAAAUUCAUUUGUUUGAUUUAGAAUGGCACAUAUGCUCAACACAAGAGACAGGAGGGAUUAUUAGCUAAAGAGCUAGUUUAAGACAAGGAUAUUUGUGUCCAUAAUUCUGCCCUGUGACGAUUGGAAUAAGUCGCUUUAGCUACAUCUGCCCUGCAGACUAGGGUGCUGGGCAUUAUCUGUAGUAUAUCUUGUGUGAGUACUGGAAGCAGAUGUGGAGAUAAGCACAGAUUAUAUUACUCCCUUCAUUGAUGAUGUAAAUUUUCUGUCUUGAACUCUCUUUCUGUAUCUAUGUUGUUAAACACAUCUUGUUCCCAAGCUGCUAUCAAACCACUGACAAGCAAAGGCAAUUGGCAGGCUGCAUGAAUAAAUAAGAGGUCCUGACUAAACACAGACUUAGAAAAGAAGUAUGUAACAGGUGGAAACAGGUACAGGUGAUCCAAGAGGAAUGUAGAAAUACUAAGUGUGCAGGGAUGGGGUUAGGAAUGCCAAAGCCCAACUGGAGUCGAUUCUGGUGAGGGUCAAGAAGGUCUUUUACAUGCAUUAUCAGGUAGGAAAGACUGGGAAAAACAUGAGCCCACUGCUGAAUGGGACAGGGGCCCUUGUGGCAAAUGAUGCAGUGAGGCCAAGGUGGUCAGUAUCUUCUUUGCCUCAGUCUUCACUGGUAAAACCAGCCUUCAGGAACAUCAGGCCUCUGAGACAAGAGGGGAAGUCUGGAGCAAGAAGGCACACCGUUCGUUGAGGAGAACCAGAAUAAGGGACGUUAAAGUAAACUCAGUGUGCACAAGUCCAUGGGAUCUCUUGGUACAUACUCAGGAGAGCUGAGGAAGUGCCUGACAUCACAACAAGGAUACUCCUGAUUGUCCUUGAAAGACUGUAGUAAUCCAGGACAGGAUCCUGAGGACCGGAAGAAACUGGUGGAGCUGAAAUAGAACCACGAAAAGUCCAGAGGAAGACAGGACUAAAACAUCCAGGACAAUCAAGAAAUACAGAGCACCACUUCUUAUGGAUAUACUGUGUGUAAUCAGACAGCUGUCAGUAGCAGCCAAUAUAUCUGAAAAAAGAG